rnacentral:rRNA from 1 species
UGGGGGAUAUUGCACAAUGGGCGAAAGCCUGAUGCAGCGACGCCGCGUGGGGGAUGAAGGCUUUCGGGUUGUAAACCUCUUUCGCUAUCGAACAAGGCCCGCUUAGGGUGGGUUGAGGGUAGGCGGAGAAGAAGCGCCGGCUAACUACGUGCCAGCAGCCGCGGUAAUACGUAGGGCGCGAGCGUUGUCCGGAAUUAUUGGGCGUAAAGGGCUUGUAGGCGGCUUGUUGCGCCUGCUGUGAAAACGCGGGGCUUAACUUCGCGCGUGCAGUGGGUACGGGCAGGCUUGAGUGUGGUAGGGGUGACUGGAAUUCCAGGUGUAGCGGUGGAAUGCGCAGAUAUCUGGCGGAACACCGAUGGCGAAGGCAGGUCACUGGGCCAUUACUGACGCUGAGGAGCGAAAGCAUGGGUAGCGAACAGG